rnacentral:rRNA from 1 species
UACGGAGGGUGCAAGCAUUGAUCGGAAUUACUGGGCGUAAAGGGCGCGUAGGCGGCCGAGCAAGUUAGAUGUGAAAUUCCGGGGCUCAACCCCGGAGCUGCAUUUGAAACUACUUGGCUAGUGGCUAGUAAGGGAAAACAGAAUUCCACGUGUAGCGGUGAAAUGCGUAGAUAUGUGGAAGAAUACCGGUGGUGAAGACGGUUUUCUGUGCUAAGCCAGACGCUGAGGCGCGAAAGCUAGGGGAGCAAACAGG